CCUAGGGGCGCCCGGGCUCCAGCCCCGGCCGGGCCGGUGCUGCUGGCCCGCCUCCGGUUCCGAGCUGUCGGCAGCUCUGUUCGCGGCGCACACGCACCUGCAUCUUGUCCCCGCCGCCGCAGAUCCCGGAACCCCGAAAAGCGGGCCCUCUAGCCGGCAGAGAAGAGAGGCAGCGACGGGUUCCGAAGCCAGGGCAAGUUGUUGCAAGGCGAAAACCCAAUGGCCUCUUAACUUUUGGGUCUAGUUGCAGAGGUUACCCGCCCCGCCCCCACCCCGGAGACCCGCCAAGUAUUAUGAAAAAACAAAUUCAUCAUCCAGUGUGAGAGGCCCUACGUAAUGUGACUAACCUGCUUUCCAAUGUUCUUACCCCACUCUUCUCGGACCCAGAAAGCAUCUUUCCCACCCCAACUCUUCUCCACCACACUGCUGUUUGGUCCCUCAGUGCCCUUCCCCAUCUGUUCCAGAACACCGUUCAUCCCCAGUACUUGGAAUGAGAGAGAUGGGAGUGGCACCCUCUGGGCCCAGAGGAGCCCUGGUGGCACAGUGGUUAAGAGCUCUGCUGCUAACCAAGAGGUCGUCAGUUCGAAUCCACCAGCUGCUCCUUGGAAACCCUGUGUUGCAGUUCUGCUCUGUCCUGUAGGGUCGCUGUGUGUUGGAAUUGACUCGGUGGCAUCGGGUUUGGUUUGGUUUUGGUAUUACUAAUUAAAGUCUGUGCUGUA